AAACAUUUCUAUAAUUAAGUAUAAUACCAAUAUUUCAUUUAAUAGAGUUCAUGAUUUCUAAAUACCUAAUAUUCAGUUAAUUUUAAAAUUUCCCAAUUGUCUGCAAAAUGAAAUGUUUAUGGUUGUUCUUUUUCAAAUUAUGAUCCAAACAUAUAUACAGUAUAUCUUGUUAUUUUGGCUAUUAAGUUUCUAAAUCUAAGUUGGUUUUCUAUUUUGCUCCCUACCAACUAUGACUUGUUGAAGGAGCUCUGUGUAUUGCCUACAGUGUACCACAGUCUGAAUUUAGUCGGUUGCUUUCUUGUUCAUCAUUAUUUCAUAUUCUAGAAGUUAGAUCUAGGGUAUAUAGAUUAGAUUCUGAUUUCACUUUUCUUGGCAAGAAUACUUGAUCAUGCUAUCAGGGUUGUGGCUCAGUAGUGGAGCGCUUCUCUAGCACGUGUGAGACGCACUGGGUUCAAUCCUCAGCACUACAUAAAAAUAAAGUUAUUAAAAAAACUUGAUCAUAAUGUAGUACACUUAAAGUCAUAAAAGGCGUUUAAUUUUACCUGUGUUACUUUUAAUGAUGCUUAGCUU
rnacentral:lncRNA from 1 species